rnacentral:tRNA from 1 species
AGAGAUUAGUUGGUAGAGCAUGGUGUUUGCAACGCCAGGGUUGUGGGUUCGAUUCCCACU